rnacentral:misc_RNA from 1 species
GCUAUUGGAAUCCCGGUUCUAUUAAUAGUGAUCUUGGUUCCUGUUAGUUUUUCUGGACUGGAAUAUUAUGAGUACGGGUUCAAGCGACAAAAGUCCACAGGAACCGUGGAUAAAACUGAGGUAUACACCACCGGUAAACACUUCGUGGGACCCGAUGUGGAGUUCAAAACCUUUAACUCAGACGCACAUUUUGUGACACUGAGCGAUGUAGCGAUUUUUACCGCUGACAAACUAGAGGUGAAAAUGACCGCCUAUCUCCAGUACUUCCUCCGGAAGGACGAACUGGUGCUCCUCCAUGACGCCUACGACACGGAUUACAAGGACAUCAUCAAAAACAGCGCGCUGGACGCUCUCAAGGGUGCGACUACGGGGUACAAUACAAGAGAACUUGUUGCAAACCGAAAGAUUAUGGAGGAUAACAUUUAUAAAGCGGUCAGUCAGAGACUCGGGGGCACCUGCUGUCGAUCAGACUGUACCGCUUACAAGUAUGCAUGUCCCACCGGCUGUAAGACAACCUGCACCUCCGCGGACAAAGGCUAUUACGUGGACGUGAAGUAUUUCCAUCUUGGCUCCAUCACUAUCCCUAACGAUGUCCAGAGUCAGUACAUGAAGGCACUGACCCUGCAGGAAGAGGCUGACCGGGAGAAGCUGCUACAGGACGCGCAGGUUGUCAGGAAAAACACCACGGCAAUGGUACAACUUAUCAAAAAUGAGGCCCUGGAAAUUCGAGAAAACGGUACAGCCAUUGCAAACCUGAUUACGGUGACGUCACAGGCCAACUACACCGCCUCACUGGAAACAGCGCGGUCUGAUGGACUGAAGCAAGUCUUCACUACUCUAGGGUUCACUCAACAACAAUAUAAGAACAGCUUUGAUUAUUUGAAAACCCUUCGAGGAUUGGACAAGGCUCAUCUCACAGUGGACUUCCAGCAGAGAAUUGUGGGAAAUUUAUAGUAUCAAAAUUAAUUUACAUUUUCCAUUUAUUUGUAUAAUAUAUCAUGAUUAAUCUAUAGCUAUUCAUCUUUGUACUAGCUCAUUGUAACUCAUUUUACUGUCAUUUAUUUAUUUAUAAACCCACAAAAGCUUACUUUGAUUGAUAUUUUAACUCGGACUUUUCUUCUAAUCAAUGUACAUCGAAUCAAUGUAUUGUAAUCAUAACGAUUGACGAGUAUUUUAAGUAAAGGUAUUGGCAUAUUGGUUUAGAGAAAAAUCUAGUAUAUAUACCGGUUUUUGAUUAGAACAUCAAUAUCAUGACGGAAUAUAGAAAAUGUACAUUAGACCUCUUAUUUACACAACUUCGGGCAAGAUUUUUAAAAAUGUUUAAUGCCAAUGUGAACAUAUGUAUGACAAUGUCAAUUUUUUGCUGAUAACGUAUAAAUACUGAUAUUUACCUAUUACUUUAUGUUUGUUGUACAAUGCAUUAUAUUUUGUGUAUGUAAAUUGUUAGUUGGUUUCUCUUUUCUGUGUCUCCCUUAUUAUACUCAGGUAAAAAUUCAACUUCUCCGAAAACAGAAAAGGAGUCCAACUGUUGAAGAUCGACGAAAUUUAUGUUAAUAAAUUGUUAGUAAAUAUUCAUUCUCUGUUCCUUACAUGCCUUAAUGAUUAUUAAAGUAUCACUAAAGUAAAUAUAGUAUUAAUUUGUAGUAAAAAACGUAACAUUUUAAAAAGAAAGUUUCUAGAUAAAAUUUUAUCUGUAACAAUAAAACAAAAAACAAUUGAACUUAU